ACGUACACUCCUACGGGAGGCAGCAGUGGGGAAUAUUGCACAAUGGGCGCAAGCCUGAUGCAGCCAUGCCGCGUGUAUGAAGAAGGCCUUCGGGUUGUAAAGUACUUUCAGCGGGGAGGAAGGCAAUACGGUUAAUAACCGUGUUGAUUGACGUUACCCGCAGAAGAAGCACCGGCUAACUCCGUGCCAGCAGCCGCGGUAAUACGGAGGGUGCAAGCGUUAAUCGGAAUUACUGGGCGUAAAGCGCACGCAGGCGGUCUGUCAAGUCGGAUGUGAAAUCCCCGGGCUCAACCUGGGAACUGCAUUCGAAACUGGCAGGCUUGAGUCUUGUAGAGGGGGGUAGAAUUCCAGGUGUAGCGGUGAAAUGCGUAGAGAUCUGGAGGAAUACCGGUGGCGAAGGCGGCCCCCUGGACAAAGACUGACGCUCAGGUGCGAAAGCGUGGGGAGCAAACAGGAUUAGAAACCCUUGUAGUCC
rnacentral:rRNA from 1 species